GUGAAUCAUCGAAUUUUUGAACGCAAAUUGCACUCUCUUCGGAGAGUAUGCCUGUUUGAGGGUCAGCCUAAAAAAAAAUCGACAUAGUUGCUGUUACGCGGUACCUUUCGUCGGAAAUUGGUUCUUCUUAAACCUUUGGGUUUAAGCGGCUUAAAAUUUUCUUUCCGUUUCCAAGAACGUUUCUAAGUUUUUUUCUUUUUUUCCUUUUA
rnacentral:misc_RNA from 1 species